CUCAUUUAAUUCUCCAUUUAUUAUAACAGGUUAAUUAGGCAAGAAUGGUAACAUGACAGCUUUUAACUGGUGAUUCUUAUUAAAUAUUUUUCCCUUGAUUUUAAUAUGCUCAGAUUUUCCAAGCUUACGGUUUGGUUGGAUUUCCUACUGAAAGAAAAGGUUUAACAUACAAGUUAAUGUACUAACUGUUGUUGAGUAGACCUACCCACCCGCUACCUGAUUGUUGUCAGUGAACCAGAUAGCUCUGCUUUUGUGUGUACAUUUUUCUAGGGAAGACAUGAUAUUAGUUUUUUAUGGAAAUUCCGCAUCAAGAAAGAGUAGUUCAUAUCAUUAAUGCAUAUAUCUCUUGAUCACACAGCCAAAAUCUGCAAUAGCUUGGCUAUGCCUUUGUCAUACUUUUAACAAGUGAUUCACAGGUUUGGCGAUACGUAUCUCCUUGAGUCCUGGGCCUGCUUAGUCAAUCAAAUACAGCAUUACAGCAUUUAGCCUCAAGGCCUUUUAAUGUAUCCUCUAGAAGCGUGUUUAUUUCUCUGUUGUUGUUUUCCAUUAAUGUUGUGUUUUUUCUACUGUGAAUAUCAAGAAAUAACCUUAUUAUAUCAAUGCCAUGGAUUGGGUCUGUCUGGACAAUGCAUGCCUCCGCUGGUCAAAGGACUUUUUCCUAAGAAAGCUAGACUAGGACAAUCCUGUGUGCCAUAAUAAACAGUAAAAUGAACUCUAGAUUGUAACUUCUCAGGGAGGCAUGAGCUUGGGGGUAAAAGGAGCUACCUACCAGUCUCUGACUAAAAUGCAAGUUCUCUUGGCAUCCUAGAAAACAAUCUUUUUGGAGAUGUAGCUUACACGACCCUUUGACAAACAGAUGUUCAGCCGGUCAAGAUAAUCAGCGUGAUGACUCGUGAUACGUGGUGUUCACUGCCCCCUGGUGGCUGGAUGUGGAAAUACAGAUGCAGGACAGGAGUGCGGAGCCAGGGUUCUGUCCUAUAGUGCCUUGCUCAGACUGACCGCCCUCCUGACUGCACAGACCCUCUGUGACCUGGACUAGUCAGCUGUGGUCUGCACUGUUGUCUCUUCUCACUCUCCACCACUAGUGGAGAACCAACCCACACACACAUCACAGCAGGACAAGACUGGAUUAUUAAUGUAUUAUGCAUUCUAACCAGAAAAGGGGUGUCUUCUGAACUCGUAGCUGCCACACAGCAAGGAAGGAGGCAACAAACCCUGUCUUCGCUUACCUGGAUGAUUCAUAAUACAACUGUUUGGGGAUAAUUACGUGAACGAUAUUCGUGAUUUUGGCGUAAUAUCAAAAUCUUGUUGUCUCUUCUAGGGGUGAAGCUCUGGCUUGCUUUGUGCAUGAGCCCAACCAUCCCCAGCUGAUAAUUAAUUUGAUGCUUAUAGAAUAUCUCGACCAUCUCUCUUUGUUAAUUAGAGCCUAACACCCAAAGCACAUGGGAUCAUGUAUAAUUAGCAACAGUUAAUUGCAUGACAUGGGGAGAAUAGAACUCCCAUUUAAAAUGCAUAAUAUACAUGUUUUAUUAAAAGAAAUCAAAACUUCAAGACCUGUAAAUAGUGGGAGAUAUUCCCUGAAAAAUGUAAGCACUUGAUUUAGGGAAGUUUAUGUUUAGUUUAAAACUCUGAUAACCUAAUUAUGGGGUUUGACAGAGCAUGCUAGAGAACAGGUUGAGAACAAAGAAUUGUAUGUAUUGUUUUGUUUUAAAAAGAAAAAAGUAUUAUGUUUAGAGAUGUUGAUUUCCAUUUUUAUUUUAUUUUUGCCAUAAUAGGGAGGGCAAAUUUUCUGACUGUAAACUUUUACUACUCUUGUACAUUAUUGAAUUUAACAUUGUUAUCAAUGUAUAUAACUUUUUCUAAAUAAAAUUAAAAAGUUAGAUGUUUUUGCUCAUGACACUAUCCCACUACACAGUGCAGAGCAGGUAACAUUUCUGUAGAUGUACUAUGGAGCAGCACAACUCUGGCCAGAUUGGCUUCCUGUGUAUAAUGACAUAUGUGGCCUGAAACCUUCACUUCAUCAUGUUCUAUGCCAUUUUAAAUGCAUGUUGCAGUUUGUGUGAACAACUGACCCCUACUCCCCCACCAACAGAAAAUACAUAUUUUUAUGUAGCUGACAUUUGCUUUUUGAAGCUAAAAACUGGAAAAGACCACUGCAUGUUUGUUGAGGAAAAGACUAGAUUAAAUAAGCUAUAAAUUGUAUCAGAAAUGAUGGUUACUUCCCAAUCUAAUGUGGGGGUGGUUCUGGUAGUGUUAAUAACACUGCCAUGUUAAGUAAACAUUGCCAUGGGUCAGUAUGAAGGAAAACUCCUACAGCUAUGUGGUAUGUACAAUGUCUGUUAACAGUGUAAUCAUAUUUCAACAUUACUUAUGUACUGUUGUUGUUAACAAAAUACUAGUAGUGACAUUUACAUAAUUGUUUAUGCAAUAACAAUAUACAUUGCCCUUGCUCAUUUGUUUGUUGUUCAUUGUCAAAGUCAACGGUCAUUGAAGCGUUCCAGUUUGGCAGAUGGAUGAGAGGCAGUUACUGGUUGUUUAGUGUGGGUGGCUGUAAUAAUGAGGGUUAAGGGUAAAAUGGAGUCCCAGUCUUGCGGUCUGGUCAGUGGUCUGCUCCAGUUUAUUCAGUUCACUACGUUAAGGUCUCUAGCCCUGUGCUUUUCUAUAGGUGGAGUUGUAGGUGUCUGUGUCGUCCUUGGUUGAAGUCUCUCUUGCCAUGGGUUUUGUCUCUGUUAUAAUUGCUGCUCCUCCCUCUGUGCACAUACAGUAGAUGGCCUCAGAGGGCCCUAUGUAUAGGCUUAGAGGAUACCUCUUUAUGAACCUCUGUCAUGUUAUUGUUAGAGGAUCUGCUGAUGUAUUAAUCAUUAAUACAUUAUGUAUAGAUUAUCUGUCACAGAUGCAUAUACUGGUGUCGUAUAUGUCACACCCCUGUACAACCACAAAGAUGGCUACAUCCCCACACUGGAUCAAAAUGUGCCAUUAACUUCAUGUAUAUCACAUAUAUAAAUAUCACUCACUUUCUCUUCACAUCCACACACAUGUACAGGAUCAAAAUGUGCCAUGACUAAAUAAUGCUUGACAAUUUAUUUUUUCUAUGUUUUAAACGGAGAGCCAAGCA
ensembl:lncRNA